rnacentral:rRNA from 1 species
CCUCUGUUACUCUUUGGGUGCAAGCCUUUAUCGCAAUAACUGGGCGUAAUGCGCACGCAGGCGGUCUGUCAAGUCGGAUGUGAAAUCCCCGGGCUCAACCUGGGAACUGCAUUCGAAACUGGCAGGCUAGAGUCUUGUAGAGGGGGGUAGAAUUCCAGGUGUAGCGGUGAAAUGCGUAGAGAUCUGGAGGAAUACCGGUGGCGAAGGCGGCCCCCUGGACAAAGACUGACGCUCAGGUGCGAAAGCGUGGGGAGCAAACAGGAUUAGAUACCCUGGUAGUCCACGCCGUAAACGAUGUCGACUUGGAGGUUGUGCCCUUGAGGCGUGGCUUCCGGAGCUAACGCGUUAAGUCGACCGCCUGGGGAGUACGGCCGCAAGGUUAAAACUCAAAUGAAUUGACGGGGGCCCGCACAAGCGGUGGAGCAUGUGGUUUAAUUCGAUGCAACGCGAAGAACCUUACCUACUCUUGACAUCCAGAGAACUUUCCAGAGAUGGAUUGGUGCCUUCGGGAACUCUGAGACAGGUGCUGCAUGGCUGUCGUCAGCUCGUGUUGUGAAAUGUUGGGUUAAGUCCCGCAACCAGCGCAACCCUUAUCCUUUGUUGCCAGCGGUUAGGCCGGGAACUCAAAUGAGACUGCCAGUGAUAAACUGGAGGAAGGUGGGGAUGACGUCAAGUCAUCUUGGCCCUUACGAUUAGGGCUACAUACAUUGCUACAAUGGAUCAUACUA